AACCUAGUGGGAGGGAGUUGUCACCACUGGAGCCACUAGAGGGCACUGUACUUUGGAUGGGGCCAGUGGCAGGGAGCGAAGAAGGAAGUGGGCUCCGCUGUAUCGGGUGACGAGCUGGUGACGGGUUGGUUGUUUUCCGUAAGAACUACCUCUACAGUUAUUUUUGCACUGUAUUUUUACACUGAAUGUAUGCACUUGAAUUAUACACCGAUUAUUUGCACUUUGAGUUAGUUAGGUUUUCAAGUGAGAUUUUAUGUGCACCGUGUAAAUGUACUGGACCAUCUUUGUUAAAUCUAUUCUAAAUUGAACAUUCGAAAUUAAAUUAAUACUACUCUAAAUCCCUUAAGAGUAGUCGAGAAAUAAAGAUCCCUGAAGAUAG